AUGCCACCGCGCGCGCGCAUGGAGCGGCCGGCAGCAAGGAUCGUAAUCAUCCUCGUCACUUUGCUCACGCUUUGGAGCAGCGCCGUUGCCGUUGCAUCGCCGUCGGCGGCGCCGGUGCGGGUCGGCGUGGUGCUGGACCUGACGAGCGUGGGGAGGGAGAGGCGCGCCUGCAUUUCCAUGGCGUUGGACGACUUCCACGCCGCUCACGCCGGCUCCGGCGCCGCGCGGAUCGAGCUGCUCGUACGAGACUCGCGCGGUGAUCUGACCACGGCCGCACAUGCUGCCGAGGACCUGAUCAAGAAUAGGCAAGUGCAAGCCAUCAUAUGGGGCCCUGCGACACUAACCAAAGAAGAUCAUGUCACACACCUGGGCCGUCGCCGCAACCAAGUCCCUGUUCUCUCCUUCCCCAGCAUUUCUCCAACAUCGUGUGCCUUUUGGCUGGAAGAUUCCGUAACAGUUCCUUGGGGCUAUGCAAAAUUUGGCUUUACACUUGGAAAUGACAGUAUAACCUUUCCUAACUCACAAACCGAUAGAAGAUACAGAAGAAAACUAGAUACAAGAAAAUCAAGCAAGAGUUGCAGAGGUAAAAGGCUAAAGAUUGCCGUGCCGCACAAACCAGGUUUUCAAGUUUUUGUGACUGUUACUAAUCCUAAUUCCAAGAAACAACAUGUCACUGGCUACAGCAUUGAUAUCUUUGAGGCUGCUAUGAGGAAUUUACAACCUCGUCCGUGCCAUAAAUAUGUUGCGUUCGACGGUACUUAUGAUGAGCUAGUAGGCAACGUGUCUUUGGGGGUGUAUGAUGGAGCAGUAGGCGAUGUGACCAUAACCGUGGAAAGAGAGACCAUAGCCGACUUCACAGUACCAUACACACAGCCUGGUGUGUCUAUGCUUGUGCUUCCUGAGGAUAAAACAGAUGCAAUAAUCUGUUGGGCAUUUGUAAAGCCACUAACAGGGAAGCUUUGGUUUGCAACCAUGGUCUUCUUCUUCUAUACUGGCUUUGUCAUUUGGAUGAUUGAACUACCCAGAAAUCAGGAGUACCAAGGAUCAAGGUCAAGACAGUGUAGCACUGCCCUCUACUUCGUUUUCUCCACUUUGACAUUUUCUCAUGGUCAUACUAUUAGAAGCCCCUUGUCAAAAAUUGUUGUGGUGAUAUGGUGCUUUGUAGUGCUGGUUCUUGUCCAGAGCUACACAGCAAGCCUGUCAUCCUAUCUGACUGCAAAGAGGCUCCGUUUGACAGAUUUUGAGAAGCUCCGGCAGAGUGGUGACUAUGUAGGAUACCAAGAUGGUUCAUUUGUGCGAUCCUUCUUGCUGAAUCAUUACAUCAGUGAAAAGAGGUUAAGGAAGUACACCACGAAAGAAGAAUAUGCUGUUGCUUUACGGAAGGGAUCCAAGAAUGGAGGGGUGUCGGCUAUUGUUGAUGAGAUCCCUUAUUUAACUUCGUUCCUCUCUGACGAUCGGUACAAAAAUGAUUUUACUAUGCUUGGAUCCAUAUACAAGACUCCUGGAUUUGGUUUUGCAUUUCAUCUAGGUUCUCCGCUCGUUCAUAAUCUUUCAACUGCCAUCCUGAACCUAGCAGGAGGGGAUGAGGGAUCAAGAAUCGAAGUGAAAUGGUUUGGCACAACUUCAUCGCCGAUAGAUGCUGGCACAAUCCCAGACACUGAUUCAGCGCCUCUUACUUUAGAAAGCUUCUCUGGUCUCUUCGUCAUCACUGGAUCCAUUUCAACUCUCAUGCUGCUGAUAAGCAUAAUGAGGUUGAUUCAUGCCAGAUGCACUAAGUUGAGAAAGGCUGAUGUGGAAAGUGUCAGCUACAGUGGCACCAACGAUGAGUCCCAUCUGUUGCAGAAUGGCAUAGGUGACAACCCCAGCCCUGAUCAACAAUCCUUCCAUGAAGCUGGCAAUAAUAAUUCCGGGGGCGUCCAUAUGAGCGGCGAAAAUGUUGGAGACACAGAGCCUGACCCAUUGCAGCAGAAUGGCAUGCAUGGUGGCUCUGUCCCUGCAGGACACAUUCAGAUUGAGAUGCACAAUGUCUAA
rnacentral:rRNA from 1 species